UACAAGUGUCAAAAACAUAUUUUGUGAG
rnacentral:piRNA from 1 species